rnacentral:lncRNA from 1 species
GUGUGUGCACGUGAAGGUAAUGGGCAUGCGCUAGUUAGUAUCCUUUCUCUCUUAGGACUCCUUAUUUGGUAAGAAUAAUUUAGAUCUGAUUUAAGUUAUGUGUCCUAAUAAAAUUGGAUCUUUGAUUAAGAUGUGGAUGCCUCAUCUAUUUAAAGGAAGAAACCAACUAAUCGAUGAGAAGAGAUUAGUUUUGUGAGAUAAAAUAAAUCAGAACAUCACCAUGUAAGAGUGGAGAGGGCAGACAUUAGUUUAUUUUGUGCAUGGAGCUUCCCUGGCACUCUUCUUUCUAGCCUAGAUUACUCCCUUCUUAGCAUCCUUUGAGUGGAGAUCUGAUCUCCUUCCUUCUCUUGAUUCCAUCCUAAAGAAUUGAUGUGAUGAGAUCAUCUCUCUUCCCUACAGAGCAGGAUGUGUGCGUGAAGCAGAGGGCCUGUGCUUUCAGGCCUCACGAGGCAUCGGAUUCAAGCAAUCUUUGGAGAUUUGAUUCCUAUUCCAUUGUGAUCAAGGUAAUCCAUAAUUUUUAUGCAAGUUUUUGUAUAGAAAA